rnacentral:rRNA from 1 species
AGACAAUGGGCGAAAGCCUGAUCUAGCAACGCCGCGUGGGCGAUGAAGGCCUUCGGGUUGUAAAGCCCUUUUCUGCGGGAAGAGCGAAGGACGGUACCGCAGGAAUAAGUCUCGGCUAACUACGUGCCAGCAGCAGCGGUAAUACGUAGGAGACGAGCGUUAUCCGGAUUUACUGGGUGGAAAGCGCAUGUAGGCGGGUUCCCAGGUCGAGAAUGAAAUCUCCCGGCUCAACCGGGAGGGGCGGUUGGAUACUAGGAGUCUUGAGGGCAGGAGAGAGAAGCAGAAUUCCCGGUGUAGUGGUGGAAUACGUAGAUAUCGGGAGGAAUACCAGUGGCGAAGGCGGCUUCCUGGCCUGUUUCUAACGCUGAGAUGCGAAAGCGUGGGGAGCG